UGCGCAGGCGGACUAUUAAGUCAGUGGUGAAAUCUCUCGGCUCAACCGAGAAACUGCCAUUUAAACUGAUAGCCUUGAGUGUAGUUGUAGUAGGCGGAAUAUAGCAUGUAGCGGUGAAAUGCUUAGAUAUGCUAUAGAACACCGAUAGCGAAGGCAGCUUACUAAACUAUUACUGACGCUCAUGCACGAAAGCGUGGGGAGCAAACAGGAUUAGAUACCUGGUAGUCC
rnacentral:rRNA from 1 species